GAGGUCUUUCCCCCGUUCAACACGUCUGAUGAGCAUGGGGCUUGACCUCACGAAACUGUGUGAGUUUAAGAAAGGUUUAGGCUGAUUGUGUGCAUCCAUCCUUGGCUCUGAGCGUCGUGUCUCAGCAGGUUCCUCUCUGGACCAGACAGAGCUACAGCAGGGCUGUGAGAGUUAUCAGUUGUUGAUGAUACUGUUUUAGAAGACUUCACCUUCAUCCUGCACACUCAUGCUUUUUCAUGUUUAGUGAAAAGAGUAACAGUGUUAAGAAGUUUCACUACGACGUCCCUCUUUGUCAAAUAAAGUAUUAUGGUUGGCUCUGACCAGUGGUGGAGCAGCUUUCACAGACUGAUUUGAACUUGCAUCUCAUGUUCAGGAGACUAUCAGUGCUAUCAGAAGCCCGGAGCUUUAGAGUAUCAGGAGCGGAGCGGAGCGAGCGAGGGAUUCCCGGUCCUCUCGUUCUCCUUCCUCAGCCGAUGGAAGACUGUCAGCUGAUCCGUGAUCUCUGGGAAGAGUCGGGCUGCUCGUGUUUCACUCCUCUCUCCCCUCAGACGCACUGCGGCAGCCACUGCACACACACACACACACACACACACUGCACUCGCUACUGUUUUUAGGAGGGAGGGAGUGGGGCGGCUCUCUUGUCUUGUCUCUCCCAAACUAUUCCUUCUUCAAGUCUCUUCUCGCAUGGAAGGCUUUCUUCUGAGGACACAAACAUGCCUGGGAAGUUUGGAGGUGGAUUUCUGAGGCUUGGAUCUAUACGCUCGCGUUCUGUGAGGAAUACAGGAAUACCCCGAAGAGUUCGUGCUCUUGCUGGAGAUCCCAGAGGAGCGAGAGUUCUUGAAGGAGUGAACACAGUGUCUUUCAUCUGCGUGGCACCGGAUCGUCGUGAUGGACUCAGAUAGCAUUUCUGCUUCAGACUUUAGGCUUUGGCCACAGGCCUGUCUCUAUCCGCUUCUCAGACAGCUGGAAUCAUCCCAUAACUGGAUAAUAGAUUCCCGGGUCCUGCUUUCAGCGGUGAACGGGAGAGAGCUGCCCCAGACGAACUGACCUGAAUCCAUCCCAGCGCUGUCUGAAGCACAGCUGCACAGCUCCUCAGCAGCGAGCGAGUUGAUCAAUCAGUCAGGCGUUGAUGGAGAAUUAGGGGCUGCUCUGAGCCGCUCUCAUCAUCCGGCGCUGGGGAGCACAUCUAGCGUCUGCAUCUGUGGAGCUGAGAGCCACGGACCGUCUCCGAGUGAAUCCUCCGGAUCUCUUCCCUCUCCGCCUCCUGUUUCACUGUGAAGAGUGUGUGCAGCUCAGAGAAGACAGUUAUGAUGCAGACUUAUCCUACAGGAGCUCAGAGUACAAGGAAACUGUGUAACGUUGUGCUUUGGUUUUAAAUAUUAUGUAUUUAAACUAAACUACAGAUGAUUUACAGUUUAAUAAAAUCGAUUAAUCUGGGACAAGAGUUUCAGAAACAUGUUUGCUGGACAAAGAACAUAAUGAAAAAUAUAUUGUAUUUUAGUUACUGCAAAUGUUAAUAAAUCACUUCAGACAUCUAGUUCUAUUUAAAACACAUUUAGCCAAUUUAAUUUCAAUCAUUUUUGAUGUUACAGCUGGAACAUGUUCUGCCCUUAUGAACGUCUGACUUAAAGAUAUGAAAUAAUUCAGAUCGACCUCACAUUCAUACGGUCGAAGUAGAAACAUGCAGAUGCUGAUGUGUUCAGUUAAACACUGAAAGAUGGAAAUAUGGUUCAUAUGUCUGGUCUUAUGAAUAUGUGUGAUUUCAUGAUGUUGUUUUUAACUGCCUUUUUUGUAGUCUCAUGCAUUUUCCAUGUGCUUUUUAUUUGUAUUAAAGAAAUUAACAUACUUUCAUGAAAUAAUUAUGAAUAAAGACAUUUACCA